GAUAAACGCUAGCGGCAGGCCUACCACAUGCAAGUCGAGGGGUAACUAGAGUGAUAGCAAUAUUACUUUGGCUAGACCGGCGCACGGGUGCGUAACACGUAUGCAACCUACCUUAUACUGGGGAAUAACUUCGAGAAAUCGGCGCUAAUACCCCAUAACAUUGCGAAGAGGCAUCUCUUUGCAAUUAAAGCUCCGGCGGUAUAAGAUGGGCAUGCGUCCAAUUAGCUAGUUGGUGAGGUAACGGCUCACCAAGGCUACGAUUGGUAGGGGUUCUGAGAGGAUGAUCCCCCACACUGGUACUGAGACACGGACCAGACUCCUACGGGAGGCAGCAGUGAGGAAUAUUGCGCAAUGGACGAAAGUCUGACGCAGCCAUGCCGCGUGCAGGAUGACGGCCCUAUGGGUUGUAAACUGCUUUUGUACGGGAAUAAACCCUUCUACGUGUAGGAGGCUGAAGGUACCGUAAGGAUAAGCACCGGCUAACUCCGUGCCAGCAGCCGCAGUAAAAC
rnacentral:rRNA from 1 species